GACGAACGCUGGCGGCGUGCCUAAUACAUGCAAGUAGGACGCAGUUGCGAACGGGUGAGUAACGCGUAGGUAACUACCUAUUAGAGGGGGAUAACUAUUGGAAACGAUAGCUAAUACCGCAUACUAGUAGAUUGACCUGCGUUGUAUUAGCUAGGAGGUAGGGUAAUGGCAUACCUAGGCAACGAUACAUAGCCGACCUGAGAGGGUGAUCGGCCACACCGGGACUGAGACACGGGCCAGACCCCGACGGGGGGCAGCAGUAGGGAAUCUUCGGCAAUGGGGUGAACCCUUACCGCGCAACGCCGCGGGAGUGAAGAAGGGUUUCGGAUCGGAAAGCUCUGUUGUUAAGGAAGCGGUACUUAACCAGAAAGGGACGGCUAACUACGUGCCAGCCGCCGCGGUAAUUC
rnacentral:rRNA from 1 species